rnacentral:rRNA from 1 species
AGUGAACGCUGGCGGUAGGCCUAACACAUGCAAGUCGAACGGCAGCACAGUAAGAUCUUUCUCUUACGGGUGGCGAGUGGCGGACGGGUGAGGAAUACAUCGGAAUCUACUUUUUCGUGGGGGAUAACGUAGGGAAACUUACGCUAAUACCGCAUACGACCUACGGGUGAAAGCAAGGGAUCUUCGGACCUUGCGCGAUUGAAUGAGCCGAUGUCGGAUUAGCUAGUUGGCGGGGUAAAGGCCCACCAAGGCGACGAUCCGUAGCUGGGCUGAGAGGAUGACCGGCCACACUGGAACUGAGACACGGUCCAGACUCCUACGGGAGGCAGCAGUGGGGAAUAUUCGACAAUGGGCGCAAGCCUGAUCCAGCCAUACCGCGUGGGUGAAGAAGGCCUUCGGGUUGUAAAGCCCUUUUGUUGGGAAAGAAAAGCAGCAGGUUAAUACCCCGCUGUUCUGACGGUACCCAAAGAAUAAGCACCGGCUAACUUCGUG